UGUACUUGAACCCCGACUCGAUUAUACAAUAAUUAAUCGACAUGAUGAACAGUAGUAACGGUUGGGGCAUACGCUUAUACACAUUGGUUUAAAAUAUAGUUGUUGUGUAUAUCAGUAUGUGUUUGGUAUUUUUCUUGAUGUAUAAUAAAUAUCAGCCAAAUAAAUAGAGGAAAACUUGAUUUAUUGAUUAAAAAUUAUUCGUUUUUAUUUUGGGGGGGGUUCUACAAUUUAUCCGUGAUUAUUAUAUAAUACAUCCUUUUCUAUAGCCAUAAUUUCCUCAGGCUCACUAAUGAUGGCUGAAUAAUAAAACCGCGGAAUUAUGUGAGCGGGAAAAGAAUGGCCUGCUUUAAUUUUUGAUAUUAUUUUAAAAUGCGAAACAGCAAAAUAUGUUGG